rnacentral:lncRNA from 1 species
CUUUAAACUGAAGAACUUCAUUGGCUUGUACACAUUGGUUUCUUUGCCACAUAGUUAAUUUGCUGUUGCUUGUAGAUGUUUUAUAAACCAGUACAGCGAAGUAGCGAAAUUUCGGGCCGUCUUUCACAACAAAUAACAUCACAAUAACUGCACAUCCUUUUCUCUUUAAUACAGAAUCGUUUUCCCUGUCCAUUGAGUUAUAAUUUCCAAGACUAACGAGUCGCUAAAACGUAAAAUUAGCGGGUAUUUGUGAACAAAAAUGCCCUUUGAUAUAACACGAGGUAACCGGCGCCAUCUUGUCUUCUCCAAACAUUACAGAUUUUCCCGCCAAAACCCGCCCCCAAAGUCCCGUAUGUACCUGACGUCACAAGUAUCAUGGACGGG